rnacentral:rRNA from 1 species
UACGGGGGGAGCAAGCGUUGUUCGGAUUUACUGGGCGUAAAGGGCGCGUAGGCGGCCUCCGCAAGUCGACUGUGAAAUCUCUGGGCUUAACCCAGAACGGUCAGCCGAUACUGCGGGGCUAGAGUGCAGAAGGGGCAACUGGAAUUCUCGGUGUAGCGGUGAAAUGCGUAGAUAUCUGGAGGAACACCGGUGGCGAAGGCGGCAUUCUGGACCGAUAUUGACGCUGAGGAGCGAAAGCCAGGGGAGCAAACGGG